GUGUCUUCAGUACGACAAUGCCAGAACUAUAAGUCUCAAAGCCCCGACGAGUAGGGUGGCGUGCCGGUGAGCGUUGAAGGCCAAGACGUGAGUCAGGCUGGAGCCGCCGGUAGUGCAGAUCUUGGUGGUAGUAGCAAGUACUCUGGUGAACCAACCUGGAGCUGUGAGGUCUGGAUUAGGGUUCCAUGUCAACAGUGAUUGAACAUGGGUGAGUCGAUCCUAAGCCAGCUGUGAAAGCAGUGACAUCCCGACAAAGGGGCGUUUCGUACGCGUGCUGCACUUGCACCCCCUAGACGAUGAUGAUUAAUCUCUCUCGGUGUUUGAGGACUGGUUACGCUAAGAAAGCGUUAAAAGGCAAGGCAAAACACACCGUCAAAAGAGAGUGAGAGGGUGAGCGCGAGUGCACAUUAACGUGCGGGAUGCUUCCUGCGUAGGUUCCAUGUCAGGCGAAAGGGAAUGGGGACUUUGUUCCUUGACCGGUCCCGGCACCCUCGAUUGGCUUCGCCAGUCAAUGGUCCAUGCAAAUGGAACCAGGCCACAGCCGCCGGCAGUCGCCCGAGGAAGAGUUUUCUUUUCUGCUUAACGCACGAGAUCAUCCCUGGAAACAGUUCGGCUGGCGAAAGGGUGCCCCGUUGCGGCAGAGCGCCACGACUGUCGUGCGCGUCUCGGUGUACCUGCUGGUCCGUGAAGACGUGGUCGAGGGGAUUGCUCUUGUAUCAACGAAACGUCCGACAAGUUCGGGACGGACCGUACCCUAUAUCCGCAUCUGGUCUCCAAGGUUCGUAGCCUCUGCAGAGUCAGACACAUGUAGGUAAGGGAAGUCGGCAAACUCGAUCCGUAACUUCGGGAAAAGGAUUGGCUCUGAGGGCCGAGCUGGGCCGGGCCUUGCCUGCAAAGCAGUACCUAUAGUGACCGGAGUUUCAGGAGUGCGAGGGGCUCUAGUAGCUGUUCGGGUGUGUGUGUUCGCGCGCGCGCCUGGGCACGAACGAGUCUACCGCUCCGCUCCAACCACGAACGGCUGUGACGGCAAGGNCUCUGGGGCGGGAGCGUUCAAACCGUUGGCUCCCAGCGUGUCUGGUCGGCGGCGGUGCUUCGUCUGACCCAUACGGCUCCAGCGGCUAGCGGCUAACUCAGAA
rnacentral:rRNA from 1 species